AACCCGUGGUGAGGACAAUCUCUCUUAUAGCCCUUGAAACGUUCCCAUGAAGCCUUGAAGACUUCGGUUGGCCCCUGAGAGAAUGUAGAGAUCUUAGCUCGCAGAU
rfam:Arabis alpina cultivar Pajares chromosome 5, whole genome shotgun sequence.